rnacentral:piRNA from 1 species
UCGAAUGUCUUAGAGGGAGUGCCAGCCAGA